rnacentral:lncRNA from 1 species
GCCAGAAAUCAAAAAUCAAGCUUGAAAAGGUAGGAAAUCCUAAAUUCUAGAAAUCCUUCGAUUCGAUGUUAAUUGAUGCAAUUGAUUGUUUAAAGUAGUGUAAUAGAGAGUCUAUUAAUGUUCUGGGUUGUAAAAUCAUGAACCCAUAACAUCAAAGUGCACGAAUUUGAAGAUUUGAGCAAGUUGGAAAAACCGAAUUCUGUUAUUUUUCACCAAAUGUCAGAGGCUAUAACUCUUUGGUCGAUCAUGAGUUUUGUUGUUUAAAAGUUGUUAUAGGUAGCCUAAUAUGUGGUCUUUAAACUCCAAAAGGAAUCAGGUCUAUAUCUAUUGUAGAUCGGGAUUUAUAAGCGGUCAAAGUGGGUUGACCGGCAUUGACCGGCUGUUUUUCAAACCCAGAAAAUAUUCUAAGUGUCCAGAAAUUUUUUUUU